GGAGGAGGAAGAGGACACAGAGGCCCUGUAGCCAGGCACCAAGAUCCCUCCCAGGUGGCUGAGUCUGAGGGGAACUCCGAGCAGCCCUAGGUCCUCAAAGUCUGGAUUUGUGUGGAAAAGGCAGCUCUCACUUGGCCUUGGCGAGGCCUCGGUUGGUUGAUAACCUGAGGACAAUGGAUGCUGAUGAGGGUCAAGACAUGUCCCAAGUUUCAGGGAAGGAAAGCCCCCCUGUAAGCGAUACUCCAGAUGAGGGCGAUGAGCCCAUGCCGAUCCCCGAGGACCUCUCCACCACCUCGGGAGGACAGCAAAGCUCCAAGAGUGACAGAGUUGUGGUUACAUAUGGGGCUGAUGACUUUAGGGAUUUCCAUGCAAUAAUUCCCAAAUCUUUCUCUCUGUUGGAAUUGUGACUAUCCUCCUCACACAAGCGGCUACUUGGUCUUGAUGCCUUCCCCCGCAAAACAGCAACCAAACUGUUCUGGGCCAAUAUCACCACCUUGUGGUCAUGAUGAAGAAUUGCCCUCUUUGCCCUCAACACCUCGUCUUGAAAAUUAGAAACAACUCCUUUCACCCCCUCUACUGUCCUUAUUCCAGUUUGUAUCCCUAGUUGCUGGAGGAAAGAAAAUGCCUAUUGCUCUUUUUUAUUCUCUUUAUCUUUUUACUUUUCUGCCUUUCUUUUCUCUCCCUGACUUCAUUCCAUUUAAAGGC
rnacentral:sRNA from 1 species